rnacentral:rRNA from 1 species
ACGAUCGAUUAGACUGGAUAGGAGACAAGAAGGCAUCUUCUUGUUUUUAAAAGACCUAGCAAUAGGUAUGCUUAGGGAGGAGCUUGCGUCACAUUAGUUAGUUGGUGGGGUAAAGGCCUACCAAGACUAUGAUGUGUGGCCGGGCUGAGAGGUUGAACGGCCACAUUGGGACUGAGACACGGCCCAAACUCCUACGGGAGGCAGCAGUAGGGAAUUUUCGGCAAUGGAGGAAACUCUGACCGAGCAACGCCGCGUGAACGAUGAAGUAUUUCGGUACGUAAAGUUCUUUUAUUAGGGAAGAAUAAAUGAUGGAAAAAUCAUUCUGACGGUACCUAAUGAAUAAGCCCCGGCUAACUAUGUGCCAGCAGCCGCGGUAAUACAUAGGGGGCAAGCGUUAUCCGGAAUUAUUGGGCGUAAAGGGUGCGUAGGCGGUUAAAUAAGUUUAUGGUCUAAGUGCAAUGCUCAACAUUGUGAUGCUAUAAAAACUGUUUAGCUAGAGUAAGAUAGAGGCAAGUGGAAUUCCAUGUGUAGUGGUAAAAUGCGUAAAUAUAUGGAGGAACACCAGUAGCGAAGGCGGCUUGCUGGGUCUUUACUGACGCUGAGGCACGAAAGCGUGGGGAGCAAACAGGAUUAGAUACCCUGGUAGUCCACGCCGUAAACGAUGAGUACUAAACGUUGGGUAAAACCAGUGUUGAAGUUAACACAUUAAGUACUCCGCCUGAGUAGUACGUACGCAAGUAUGAAACUUAAAGGAAUUGACGGGACUCCGCACAAGCGGUGGAUCAUGUUGUUUAAUUCGAAGGUACCCGAAAAACCUCACCAGGUCUUGACAUGCUUCUGCAAAGCUGUAGAAACACAGUGGAGGUUAUCAGUUGCACAGGUGGUGCAUGGUUGUCGUCAGCUCGUGUCGUGAGAUGUUGGGUUAAGUCCCGCAACGAGCGCAACCCUUAUUGUUAGUUACCAGCACGUAAUGGUGGGGACUUUAGCAAGACUGCCAGUGAUAAAUUGGAGGAAGGUGGGGACGACGUCAAAUCAUCAUGCCCCUUAUGACCUGGGCUACAAACGUGAUACAAUGGCUGUUACAAAGGGUAGCUGAAGCGCAAGUUUUUGGCGAAUCUCAAAAAAACAGUCUCAGUUCGGAUUGAAGUCUGCAACUCGACUUCAUGAAGUUGGAAUCGCUAGUAAUCGCGAAUCAGCAUGUCGCGGUGAAUACGUUCUCGGGGUUUGUACACACCGCCCGUCA